GUCAGCUAUUGCUGUGUUCUUUCAAGGUCUUAUUUGCCAACUUCUCAUUAAUCUUUUGUUAUAGUUAAUGAUUUUUUAUCUUCCCUUGUUCAAAUUACCAUGUAGUUUCUUUCUCCUGAUUGGACUUAGGCUAUGACUGGACAUAGAGUGUUCUGUUAGAAUCAUAAAGAGAGAGCAUAUUUGGGGAGAGAGAUGGACAGAGUUUGGGACAUGACCAAUUUUAAGUGCAGAACACUCAGAUAUCCAAGUGCCUGUCCUAUAUGGGUUUGGAAUGAGCUCCAAAGACCUGGAUUGGAGAUUGCCCAGGAAGAGUGUGAGGAACAAGAUGACAGUAUGGUCAGGAUAGAGUCCUGUAGGUUACAGCCUGUUCACAUGAAAAGGAACCUCCUAAGGAGGCUGGGGAAGACUGAUUGGAGGGAUACUAUAGUUUAUUAUUAUAUUAUUCAUAUGGUUUUUGUGAAGGUGAAAUGAGUUGAUAUUAUAUAAAGCACUGAGCAUAGUGUCUGGCACGUAAGUCCUUAGUAAAUGGGACUACUGACUGUGCUGUUGUCUGCUGGGCAAUGUGGUGGGUGUCAGGGAUAGAGGAUGACCAGGGCUGCAGGCUCUGCCUUGAGGGGUGGGGAAUGGGAAGAGGCUUGUUAAGUGUGUUAUAGUGAGUGGUAGGUGUCAGAAAGGCGUGAAUAGGCUGGGUGUGGUGGCUCAUGCCUGUAAUCCCAGCACUUUGGGAGGCUGAGGCAGGAGGAUUGUU
rnacentral:lncRNA from 1 species